rnacentral:rRNA from 1 species
UUUUCUUUCGGUUCUUAUCUGUGUGGAAUUUUGGUCAAUGGGCGAGAGCCUGAACCAGCCAAGUCGCGUGAGGGAGUACUGCCCUAUGGGUUGUAAACCUCUUUUGUCGGGGAGCAAAAGCCGGACGUGUCCGGCUGUGAGAGUACCCGAAGAAAAAGCAUCGGCUAACUCCGUGCCAGCAGCCGCGGUAAUACGGAGGAUGCGAGCGUUAUCCGGCUUUAUUGGGUUUAAAGGGUGCGCAGGCGGAUUUUUAAGUCAGCGGUCAAAUC